AUCGUGCUGUAAAGACAAAUUGCUACGCAAAGAAAUGGCAUCCUUCAAGUUGAUAUUUACUUUGGCCUUUAUAGCCAUAAUGGCAUUGGCUAAUCUACCUUCAAUGGCCGAGGCCCAGAGACGUAAAUGUCCUGAUGUUUGUACUUUCAUCUACAGUCCUGUUUGUGCUACACUGAACAAUGGCAGCAGAAGACAAUUUUCUAAUUCAUGCACUUUGGAUGUUGCUGUUUGUAAAGAAAAUCUUCGCGUUAAGUCUUCCAGGCCAGGAAAAUGCUAAGGAAUGGAUAUACGGUCCAUACAGCUUUAUCAUGGAAUAUUGAUUGAAUUGUGAAUGUAAAUAAAUGUUAUGAAUGACAAUUAAAAAAAUGUUGUGAGCAA
rnacentral:sRNA from 1 species